CAAUUUAUUGUCUGCAUGCAGGUGUGAAGUCGAUAGGUGUUGACAUAAAGUACAACGUUCCUGUCCCACAGAUUCUCAAUUGUUUGAUGCAAGCAGGUCUGAGGAUGACGGGUUAUGACAUAAAGUACAGCCUUCCUGUCCCUCGGAAGUUUUGAUUGCAGUGCUGCAGGAACCUGCAGUUUGUCAUGAUAUAACUUCCCUGGUGCUGAGGUCCUCCUUUAUAGCAGAAGUCGCAAGACUACUUGCUUCCUUUCCCCGGACAGAUGAACCUACUGAGGCCACGAGAGCAUUUGUCUUCACA